rnacentral:rRNA from 1 species
CAGGCUUAACACAUGCAAGUCGAGGGGCAGCAUGGUCUUAGCUUGCUAAGGCCGAUGGCGACCGGCGCACGGGUGAGUAACACGUAUCCAACCUGCCGUCUACUCUUGGACAGCCUCUGAAAGGAAGAUUAAUACAAGAUGGCAUCAUGAGUCCACAUGUUCACAUGAUUAAAGGUAUUCCGGUAGACGAUGGGGAUGCGUUCCAUUAGAUAGUAGGCGGGGUAACGGCCCACCUAGUCUUCGAUGGAUAGGGGUUCUGAGAGGAAGGUCCCCCACAUUGGAACUGAGACACGGUCCAAACUCCUACGGGAGGCAGCAGUGAGGAAUAUUGGUCAAUGGGCGAGAGCCUGAACCAGCCAAGUAGCGUGAAGGAUGACUGCCCUAUGGGUUGUAAACUUCUUUUAUAAAGGAAUAAAGUCGGGUAUGGAUACCCGUUUGCAUGUACUUUAUGAAUAAGGAUCGGCUAACUCCGUGCCAGCAGCCGCGGUAAUACGGAGGAUCCGAGCGUUAUCCGGAUUUAUUGGGUUUAAAGGGAGCGUAGAUGGAUGUUUAAGUCAGUUGUGAAAGUUUGCGGCUCAACCGUAAAAUUGCAGUUGAUACUGGAUAUCUUGAGUGCAGUUGAGGCAGGCGGAAUUCGUGGUGUAGCGGUGAAAUGCUUAGAUAUCACGAAGAACUCCGAUUGCGAAGGCAGCCUGCUAAGCUGCAACUGACAUUGAGGCUCGAAAGUGUGGGUAUCAAACAGGAUUAGAUACCCUGGUAGUCCACACGGUAAACGAUGAAUACUCGCUGUUUGCGAUAUACGGCAAGCGGCCAAGCGAAAGCGUUAAGUAUUCCACCUGGGGAGUACGCCGGCAACGGUGAAACUCAAAGGAAUUGACGGGGGCCCGCACAAGCGGAGGAACAUGUGGUUUAAUUCGAUGAUACGCGAGGAACCUUACCCGGGCUUAAAUUGCAGAUGAAUUACGGUGAAAGCCGUAAGCCGCAAGGCAUCUGUGAAGGUGCUGCAUGGUUGUCGUCAGCUCGUGCCGUGAGGUGUCGGCUUAAGUGCCAUAACGAGCGCAACCCUUGUUGUCAGUUACUAACAGGUUCUGCUGAGGACUCUGACAAGACUGCCAUCGUAAGAUGUGAGGAAGGUGGGGAUGACGUCAAAUCAGCACGGCCCUUACGUCCGGGGCUACACACGUGUUACAAUGGGGGGUACAGAGGGCCGCUACCACGCGAGUGGAUGCCAAUCCCAAAAACCUCUCUCAGUUCGGACUGGAGUCUGCAACCCGACUCCACGAAGCUGGAUUCGCUAGUAAUCGCGCAUCAGCCACGGCGCGGUGAAUACGUUCCCGGGCCUUGUACACACCGCCCGUCAAGCCAUGGGAGCCGGGGGUACCUGAAGUGCGUAACCGCGAGGAGCGCCCUAGGGUAAAACUGGUGACUGGGGCUAAGUCAUAACA